AGGAGCAACAGCCCUAAUGGCGGGGGCAGCUCUGGAAACCUGGAUUCAGCCCCCGCAGGAACUCCUGAGCUCUCCCUCUGCAGGGCCUGGAGGCUCCGGGGCGGG
rfam:Canis lupus familiaris chromosome 34, whole genome shotgun sequence.